GCCAGACUCCUACGGGAGGCAGCAGUGGGGAAUAUUGCACAAUGGGGGAAGCCCUGAUGCAGCGACGCCGCGUGAGCGAUGAAGUAUUUCGGUAUGUAAAGCUCUAUCAGCAGGGAAGAAAAUGACGGUACCUGACUAAGAAGCCCCGGCUAACUACGUGCCAGCAGCCGCGGUAAUACGUAGGGGGCAAGCGUUAUCCGGAUUUACUGGGUGUAAAGGGAGCGUAGACGGCGGUGCAAGCCAGAUGUGAAAGCCCGGGGCUCAACCCCGGGCAUGCAUUGGAAACUGGCGGGCUGGAGUGCCGGAGAGGUAAGCGGAAUUCCUAGUGUAGCGGUGAAAUGCGUAGAUAUUAGGAGGAACACCAGUGGCGAAGGCGGCUUACUGGACGGCAACUGACGCUGAGGCUCGAAAGCGUGGGGAGCAAACAGGAUUAGAUACCCCUGUAC
rnacentral:rRNA from 1 species